rnacentral:rRNA from 1 species
GUUUAUAGCCGACCUGACAGUGGCAAACUCACCUCAAAUGUGUGCCGAUGUCAUCAGAUCUCAAAAGCAAAGCACAGUUGAGCCUGGCUCGUACUUGGAUGGGUAACCAAUGGGAUCUUCCAGGUGUUGUAGACA